rnacentral:rRNA from 1 species
CAUACGAUCUAAGGAUGAAAGCGGGGGACUCGCAAGAGCCUCGCGCGAUUUGGAGCGGCCGAUAUCAGAUUAGCUAGUUGGUAGGGUAACGGCCUACCAAGGCGACGAUCAGUAGGGGAUGUGAGAGCAUGAUCCCCCACACGGGUACUGAGACACGGACCCGACUCCUACGGGAGGCAGCAGUAAGGAAUAUUGGACAAUGGUCGGAAGACUGAUCCAGCCAUGCCGCGUGAAGGAUGAAGGCGCUCAGCGUUGUAAACUUCUUUUGUACGGGAACAAAUGCGACCUGCGGGUUGUACUGAGGGUACCGUAAGAAUAAGCACCGGCUAACUCCGUG